rnacentral:lncRNA from 1 species
UUCAUCAUCAGGAGGGCUCUAGGACAACUAUUUCACUUCAAAACCAUCAAACAACAUCAAGAACACAACUGCCCUUCAAAAAUAGGUAUGAAUUCGACCUCCCUCUUUUGUCAAAUUGACAUAUACUUUGGAAAGGUCUUUCAAUGCUGAGUGUCGUGAUGCUUUCCUUUUUUAAAAUAGUUGUGUAUUCAUGAAGAUAUGAUGGGAGGAAG